UCCCCGGUGGCGUAAUUGGUUAACGCGCGGUACUUAUGAUGCUGAGAUUGUGAGUUCGAAUCUCACCUGGGGAA
rnacentral:tRNA from 1 species